AGCAGUCGCCGCGGUAAUACGAAGGGUGCAAGCGUUACUCGGAAUUACUGGGCGUAAAGCGUGCGUAGGUGGUGGUUUAAGUCCGUUGUGAAAGCCCUGGGCUCAACCUGGGAAUUGCAGUGGAUACUGGGUCACUAGAGUGUGGUAGAGGAUAGUGGAAUUUCCGGUGUAGCAGUGAAAUGCGUAGAGAUCGGAAGGAACAUCUGUGGCGAAGGCGACUAUCUGGGCCAACACUGACACUGAGGCGCGAAAGCGUGGGGAGCAAACAGGAUUAGAUACCCGAGUAGUCCCUGUCUCUUAUAC
rnacentral:rRNA from 1 species